GCGGCCGUAGUCUAGUCUGGAAGGACGCCGGCCUGCCACGCCGGCGAUCCCGGGUUCAAAUCCCGGCGGCCGCA
rnacentral:tRNA from 1 species